rnacentral:lncRNA from 10 species
AUGUUCUACGCUAGCCAGAAGGGAAAGACUGAAUCAUAUUUGUGACCAAAAAAAAAAACCCAUUAGACUCCAAUCAAUGCAGAGCAGGUGGCUGAUGACUGCAGCGAUCCCUAUGAGGAGCACGGAUUGAUACUGCCAAAUGAACACAUUAACUGAAACUACCCAGGCCUUAGGGGAAUGGCCAGAGGCCCCUGUAGGGAACAGUUUAAGUCAAACUUUUCCUGCUUCCAUUGUAGGAUGGAGGAUUCAAGGGCUCAGAUUAUAUAAACAAGUUCAAGGCCAUGCAAGAAUGUAUACAGAAAUACUCAAACCUCUAACCCCAACAGGAAGAGGAAGAGGAGGAGGAGGAGAAGUAGCCAGCAGAACAAGUGGAAGAAACAGCUUCCAGUGAGGUCACUGCACCCAAAGAAGAGGAGCAGUCAAGCUA